UACGGGGGGGGCAAGCGUUGUUCGGAAUUACUGGGCGUAAAGGGCUCGUAGGCGGCCAACUAAGUCAGACGUGAAAUCCCUCGGCUUAACCGGGGAACUGCAUCUGAUACUGGAUGGCUUGAGUUCGGGAGAGGGAUGCGGAAUUCCAGGUGUAGCGGUGAAAUGCGUAGAUAUCUGGAGGAACACCGGUGGCGAAGGCGGCAUCCUGGACCGACACUGACGCUGAGGAGCGAAAGCCAGGAGAGCAAACGGG
rnacentral:rRNA from 1 species